CCUACGGGAGGCGGCAGUGGGGAAUUUUGGACAAUGGGCGCAAGCCUGAUCCAGCCAUGCCGCGUGAGUGAAGAAGGCCUUCGGGUUGUAAAGCUCUUUCGGCAGGAACGAAAUGGUUCGUGCUAAUACCACGGACUGAUGACGGUACCUGAAGAAGAGGCACCGGCUAACUACGUGCCAGCAGCCGCGGUAAUACGUAGGGUGCAGGCGUUAAUCGGAAUUACUGGGCGUAAAGCGUGCGCAGGCGGUUUCUUAAGUCAGAUGUGAAAGCCCCGGGCUUAACCUGGGAACUGCGUUUGAAACUGGGAGACUUGAGUGUGGCAGAGGGGGGUGGAAUUCCACGUGUAGCAGUGAAAUGCGUAGAUAUGUGGAGGAACACCGAUGGCGAAGGCAGCCCCCUGGGCUAACACUGACGCUCAUGCACGAAAGCGUGGGGAGCAAACAGGAUUAGAUACCCUGGUAGUCCACGCCCUAAACUAUGUCAACUGGUUGUCGGGAGAUUAACUCUCUUGGUAACGAAGCUAACGCGUGAAGUUGACCGCCUGGGGAAUACGGCCGCAAGGUUAAAACNCGAAAGAUGACGNNGAGAGNGCGACGACGACGACGAGGAGAGG
rnacentral:rRNA from 1 species